GCCCCCACGUGACCGCCAGCCCUCACGUUUCUGAAGUGUGUUCCCUGCGCGCGGAGGGAAGCGGCGGCGGGGUUGGCUCCGCCGCGGUGCGCUCGGCCCUGCUCCCGCAGGCGGGCAACCAGGGUAGCCAGCAGCUCCGGGGGGAAGCCCACUCGCCUGGGCAGCACGAGGGACCGGGCCGCGGCGGGGAGGGGCGCCGCGGGCGGAGACCAUCCCCCCCGCCUGUACGGGGCGCCGGGGACCCGGAUGAGCACGGGGCUCGGAGGAGGCUCAUGGAGGCACCACUACCUACCUAAAAGAUGCCGGCCUGGUGCAGGUUUUCUUAGGCUUUCUCUGGUAUUGGCCACUAGGUGAGAAGCACCCUACUGAGAGGACUCAGUAUAGCAAUUUCAAGACCCUGCAGAGCAGCUCUGUAUGCACUUCUGAAAGCAAACCUUCGCAUAUGAAUUGUAACUUAAUCUACAGCUUUAGUACUUUCCAUAAACAAGGGAAACAGCAAGAGGGAUCUCAUUAAAAAUAAUCACUCUAAAGUAAAAUGGACAUGCAGUUGCCGUACUUGCCUUCCUUGACUUCCAGAAUUCCAAAGUAGGAAAGUAUUUUAAAUCCAAUUUCUACUUUCUUUCUACUAAAGUAUUUCUUUCUACUUGUUCUUUCUACUAUUUUUUUUCUGCUUAGGUAUGGGAAAGUAAAACCUGAAGUCAGUAAAGAGAUACGCAUCAUGUGUUUCUCUUGAUGCUCUUCUUUCCUCAUCUUGAAUGACUUCAUAAAAUGUCAUUACUGAUUAAAGCAUGGUAACAGAAAAGGCCCCAACCAUGAUCAGAGUCCCUUGCAAAUUUGAUAUUGUACAAACUUUCUCUCUAAAAAGUGUGGUGGACCAACUUUUCUUAAGCAUUUGACUGUAACUUAACAGUAAUAUUAAUUAUUAUGAGGUUUUCCACUAUUAUUUUGUCACACACGUAACAUCAGAUUCCACAGCUCAUCAUUCUGCUCCAAGAGGAACCUGUGAGUUUCUUGCUUGUUUUUGUUUUUAAGAAACGUCAAAACUUUGUUGACUAAUUUUCAAAGAAAUGAAGUAGAAAUGAAUGAAAAAAAUCUCAGUAGUUAACAACCACUUCCCAUUAAAUUCCUUUUAAUUCUAUAAAAUUUGAGCACACUGAAGAAGAAAGUUUAUUUUCAAGGAAAAUCACCUCGCAAUAUAUUUUUUUUAUUUAAAAAUUUUAAACUGUUUUUCAUACCCCUCUAAGCUCAUUAGUGAGAAAUCUUGUGUCUUAUGUUCCGUCCUAGCUCCUUACAAGAGUGUGACACUGAGCAGCAAAGGACAGCCCUAAAGAAUGUCCAGUGCCAACAGAUCUGCCUUCUUCAAAAUGUUACAUUUAAAACUAUUAAAUUGAGGUGGAACCAACCCUCCCAUGUAGGAAUUUAUGGUUUCAUAACCGAAUUACAACCAUGAAAACCAUUACUCUCUAUAAGCUGUUUAUCACUGCAGAUUAAAUAACAACUGUAAUUAACAUAUCGUUACGUCAAAGCACUACUCAGCUCUAUCCAUACUUUCCAUUCUAGACUGAUUGUUUUUUAUUUAAAAAGUGGUAGGAAGGUGAGGAAUAUAUUAAUUAAAAUGUCAGAUCUCAAGGGAAGAGGUACUCUCUUCUAGUUAGUGAAAAAGAAAAAACAGAUUCAGAGUUAAUCAAGGAACUUGUACAAGUAAACCCCACUACUGUGUUCUCUUGUGGAUAACUUUUGAAAGAACAGCAUUGUUAAUUCAGCUAACUUAGCCCAGACUGUGAUAACAGAAAUCCAGAGAGUGGAGAGGAGAAGGAGUCAAAAGAGAAAAAAAGAGAAAAAAAAUGGAGGCAUGGAAGGACAAAAUAAAACUUCAAGGAGCAAACAUGAAAUACAUUGUGCGUUAAAAAGAAGAGUUUUUUAGAUCCAUGUUUCUUAACUCCAUUGCAUGCAAUUACGUCACUCAUAUUCACAAUUACUGUUAUUGAAACAGCAGUCAUGUAGGAAACUGAGCUUGAACAAGGUUUGUUGAGCAUACUUUCUUUCUAUAGCAAUUCUCCUUUUCAUACUUAGAUCUAAUACAGACUAUUGAAAAUGUAGCUGACAAAAGAAGUGUUUUCAAAGCGAACAGUCCUGCUUUUCACUCUUUGAAGUAUGUGAUUAUGCAGACCAGAGUUAAAUGCUUUUUAAAAAUGCUAAAAUGCCUGGAAAAAUUUGUCUAGUCUAUAAAUUAUUUGUGUCUUUGCCAAUUUUUUACUCUAAGUUUAGAUGUGACUAAAAAGGAGACCAGCAGAACAGAAUAAGAUACAGGAAGCAGAGUCUCAUCAUCACAGCUCAUUUAGCUUCUGAAACAACACUGACAAAACUGUUAAUCCAGUGACUACAUAUAUGAAUUUUAUUAUUUUAUUAGAGAUAAGUGCAGUAAUCAUAUGGAAGAAAAUAUACUGAUAUAAAAGAAGCUUUCAGUGUUUACAUCAUUGUUGUCUCUAAUCAAAAUUUGAUCCUGAAAAAAUUUUUCAGUGCGCUACUUUCCAAAAGAGUAGAAUAGUCUUUAUAGCAAACAUGUUUGGUAUCAGGAGCACUACUGCUUUUGAUCUCCUGAUUAAUGUAUGUGGUAGCUAUUGUGCUAUACAGGGUGCAAGUCCUCACUAACACUGUUAAUUGCAACAUAAUAAUACUUCAAAAAUGACAGAUUUUGAGUUAGUACACUAAUUCUUUCUUGAAAGCUGUUUAAAUCCAAACACCUCCUGGUAUGUCACUUUAAAACAUUUCUGAUCAUAAACUGUUUUAACAGGUGGAAGAAACUCAGGUGUUUUUACAUGAUAAAAAGACUGUAAUCCAAUUUACUUCACUCUGAUCAAGAACAGAGUGCAUGAACGCAUGAACUGUAACACCCUAAAUGCACAUCUGUAGGAUAGCAAAGUCCUUGUUUACUGCAAACUCAGAAUUAAAGUACAGCCACUUAAUAACCGUA